rnacentral:rRNA from 1 species
UACGUAGGGUGCGAGCGUUAAUCGGAAUUACUGGGCGUAAAGCGUGCGCAGGCGGUGAUGUAAGACAGGUGUGAAAUCCCCGGGCUCAACCCGGGAACUGCGUCCGAUACUGGAAGGCUUGAAUCCGGGAGAGGGAUGUGGAAUUCCAGGUGUAGCGGUGAAAUGCGUAGAUAUCUGGAGGAACACCGGUGGCGAAGGCGACAUCCUGGACCGGUAUUGACGCUGAGGCGCGAAAGCCAGGGGAGCAAACGGG